CAAGUGUUGGCCCCGCCCACCCCCACCGCUUGGCCCAGGCUCGGUUGAGUUGAGUUUUCGGCUGAGCUAGAAGAGUGCGGUUGGAGUGCGAGAGGGUCGCGGCCGCGAUGAUCCCACGGAUGAAGAAAUAAUAAGAGGGGCGACAAAAAAAAACGGGCAAGAAAGCGACUAUUCCACGACACAAAACAAUGUUCCCGAAAGGCAAAGGUACCCCGGUACCCUCGGAUGGCCAAGCCCGAGAAAAGUUGGCUCUCUACGUCUAUGAAUAUCUGCUUCACAUCGGAGCACAGAAGUCAGCACAGACAUUUUUGUCAGAGAUACGAUGGGAGAAGAACAUAACACUCGGAGAACCCCCAGGAUUCCUGCAUUCCUGGUGGUGUGUGUUCUGGGAUUUAUACUGUGCUGCACCGGAGAGAAGAGAGACAUGUGACCACUCCAGUGAAGCAAAAGCCUUCCAUGACUACAGUGCGGCAGCAGCCCCCAGCCCUGUAAUGGGAGGGAUGCCCCCUGGUGACGGUAUGCCGGGAGGACCGAUGCCGCCUGGAUUUUUCCAGGGUCCUCCUGGUCCCCAGGGCUCUCCUCACCCUCAGCCUCCUCCCCCUAACAAUAUGAUGGGACCACACAGUCAGUCCUUCAUGUCACCUCGCUUUGCCGGUGGCCCUAGAGGUCCCCCCAUAAGGAUGGUAAACCAGUCCCCAGUUGGAGGACCAGGCCCUCAUCCCAUGUUGCCUAAUAUGGACCCCACACGACCGCAAGGUCACCCUAACUUGGGGCCCAUGCAGAGAAUGAGCGGCCCUCGAGGCAUGGGGCCAAUGGGUCCUGGCCCUCAGAGCUUUGGUGGUGGGAUGAGGCCCCCACACAACACCAUGGGUCCCGGCAUGCCAGGAGUGAACAUGGGACCUGGGACUGGUCGACCAUGGCCCAAUCCUAACAAUGCGAACUCUAUGCCUUACUCAUCGCCAUCUCCUGGCGCGUACGGGGGAGCAUCUGGAGGAGGACCCCCAGGGACUCCCAUCAUGCCCAGCCCUGCAGACUCCAACAACUCUGGUGACAAUUUGUACACCAUGAUCAACACUGGACCCGGCAACCGAAAUAAUUUCCCCAUGGGUCCUGGCUCUGAUGGACCCCUGGGAGCCAUGGCUGGGAUGGAACCGCAUCACAUGAACGGGUCACUAGGCUCUGGCGACAUGGACGGCAUGAACAAGAAUUCUCCAAACAAUUUAAGUGGCAUUAGCAAUCCUCCCGGGACCCCAAGAGAUGAUGGAGAGCUGAGUGGGAACUUCCUCCACUCCUUUCAGAGCGAGAACGGAGGUGGCUCAUGGGUCAAGGAAGAACCGAUUUCUUAUUGGUGAGGAUCUGGAUAAAGAUGCCGUUACAGGAAUUGAUUUUUCACUGUUGGCGCUUUUCCGCUGCGCAGUAACAGCUCGGCUCAGCUUUACUCGUCGGGGACGUACUCUCCAACCAUGACCAUGAGUGUGUGACGUCCUCCUCCUCCUCCUCCCUCCACCCAGCCUCAUUUGCCAUCAUUCCAAGGAUUCGAACUCCCUCUCAGCCAAAUGCAUCAGCAAAGAAUCAGGGAUCCACACCUUUAAAACAAAAAGUGAAGGACAAUUUUCUCCAUAUUUGUCAGCAACCAGCUACUGAAUCCUCCCCCUAUUAGUCCUCCCGUCUUUUACAGCAAACAAUUGUUUACCUCUCGUACUUUUUAUUAUGAAUUAUCGCUUGGUGCAGGAAGUGUCUCCCCGCUUUCAAACACUGGAGAGUGUACAUAGACACGUACAGUACAUCGUGAGCCUUUUUUUAUUUUCUACUACCGCUUCUCGCCACGACACGCUCGCCGCCCGCCUUUACGGAUAGACGCCAGCCAUGUUCGUCCCCCCGCUUUGCGUCCCAUUACGGUCAGUCCGCAAACGAGAGAAUAAUGUCACACACUGACCCAACAUUGCAAUAUUUUGUUCUAUUUAAUGAUAUUUUGUCCCCCCAAGUAUGUCCAAGUGAUCCCAUUCAGGCCAAUGCAUGGAUGGCGAGUACAAACAUACUACCUACAAUAGUGCUGCUUGAAAACAUCCUAACUGUCGUCGCCACAUUGCUGCAUUUAUGACGCCCUUUUUAAACCCCUCCUCCCCGCACAUUUUUAUGUCCCGGUCAUUUUUUUGAUACGAUCUUUGACUACGUAUAUCCAAGGCCCCAGUUCUCCAGAGUUUAGUCCAAGCGCUCCCAACGGAUUUUAGUCGGCAUCUUUAUUCAACUUAGCAGCAGUCUUGUAAAUGUGAUGAGGAUUUUUUUUUUUUUUUUUUUUUUUGGUUUAUCGUUCCUCCUGUGAACAUUAUACAUGUCUGUUCUACGUUGCCUUUUAUUUGCUUAUAUUUUUUUAUUUCAAAAUUGAGGAAAGAUUGCUUGUUAAUAUAAUUUUACAAUAACUUA